rfam:Trichobilharzia regenti genome assembly, scaffold: TRE_scaffold0007356
AUACUGUUGAAGAGUCCCAAACUAGGACGAAACAGCUGUCCAGUAC